CAGUAAGUAAAAUAUAUUGGGAUGACAAAAUAUGAAAAAUAAAGAAAGAAUAAUGAGUAAGAUAAAUAAAAUGUAGAAAAAAAUGACAUAACAAUUUAAAGAAUACAGAAAAAAACAAUACCCCCAAUCCGGACCCUCAUGGAAUACACGAGAAUCUGGAUGGAAACGCAGAAUAUAGAAUAAUAUAUAAGGACAGUAGAGAGUGAUACAUUGCUAAAAACGAGAGAAAAAUAAUACUUGUUUAAGAAUACACACAUGAAACACCGAUGGCUGUUGAAACAGUAACGGAUUGCGAUGUACUUAUAUUGGUGACAAAUUCUAGAAGUUUACAUGCGGACAAC
rnacentral:lncRNA from 1 species